GUGUGUAUAGUAUAAAUAUAGGCAAUACAUUAACUUUUCAUGUUAAAAAUACAUGACCAUGUUACACAC
rnacentral:tRNA from 1 species